CCCGCCGUGUUCCUCCAGGCGCUCGCGGGCGGGGCCCUCAAGGCCAGUUUCCUUGUCCUGCAAGCGCUUGGCGCCGUGCUGCUGUGCGGCCAGUUCCUGCUGUACGUGGUUCCAGAAGAGAACCCAUGGAUCGUUCAACCAGGAGUUGGUUAGGGGGGUUCUUCCCCGAACUGCAGUCCUUGGAGCGUUCGCGACUACGCCCUUCAUCCUGCUAAUUUUAGCCGGUUCUCUGGUGCAAUGCACGAUGCCGAAAAAGAUUGGUGCUGCGAUGGUGGAUGUGGGGAUAUUUGGCUCCAGUGCGAUACCUUGCUUUGUGGUCAUUCCAGCUGUAGUACUGAGUAACUGGAGGGAGGACCAGAUGUCAAAGAAAAACAUGAUUCACGUCGCAGAAUGUUGAGUUCCCCAUUGUUGUCAAUUUGCAAUCUUCAUUUGUCCUGUGUGGCCAACUGCCGCAAUUCGGCAUGAAUGCAGUUCCCCAUUGUUGUCAAUUUGCAAUCUUCAUUUGUCCUGAGUGGCCAACUGCCGCAAUUCGGCAUGAAUGCAGUUCCCCAUUGUUGUCAAUUUGCAAUCUUCAUUUGUCCUGAGUGGCCAACUGCCGCAAUUCUACUGUAUGCCUUUAUUGCAAACUGAUCAUCAAAAUGAUUAGAGAGGGGCAAAAAUAAUUGUACGUUGCAUUGUUUCUAUGAUUCUAUCUGUGCAGAUAGUGAGAUUAAAGCAGAAGACGUUUGCUUCUUCUGAACUAUUUGCACACACCUUUCUUAUAAGCACGAGGUUUCCAGUUUCAUGAAUCCUGAUAAGCCUAUUCAUUUAUGUGUUUCAAUCAUUUAAAAUGUAACUGAGUAAACUCUUAAGGUGUUUAUAACUUUAUAUCAAAUCAUUAUGCCAUUGAUCCCAGUUAGUCCUACAAGAGAGUUUUCUUUCUCGGUUGUUGAUAGAUGUUAGAUAUCUACAUUCAAUACUAGAUCAGAUGCCUACUGAUCUUCCUUGGUUCAAGUCGUCAGUUGACCAAUCAGAUGCCUACUGAUAGAUCACCAGUGAAAACCUAGUAUGCGUUGUUCAUGUUCACUCAUUCCCUUUAUAUUGUGAUCAGGAAGCAACCAAUUCAUCAAAAUCCACCGUAAGUGGUAGGCCUCAGAUUUCAAAGGGUU